rnacentral:lncRNA from 1 species
GCAGGAUAUAGGGUUUUUGUUUUUUUUUUUUUUUAAUUAUUUUAAAAGUCACAUAGCCGGUUGCUGAUUAAGCUUUUAUUCUGACCUUUAGGCAUUUAACAGUCAUUAGCAUUGAGGAAGCUUGGCAUCAGCAAUCUAUGCAUAGCAUUCUAGAGAAUCACCAUUGUGCUUAUGCAGACAGCGUGCCUAUCUGCAACAACCCUGUGUGCCUGUGCCUAGGUUUGCAUCUAGGUUCUCCUUGCUAAUGCAUAUCUUGCUAACGACCCCUCAUAAACACCUUGGGGCCAUGAGGCUCAUCUUCCUCUUAUUCUUUAGAGGACAUAUCAUGCUGUGCAAACAGCAUGCCUAUCUGCACAGGUCCUGGCGUGCCUAGACCAAUGCAUUAUGUCCUCAUUCAGCUGACCACAUGAAUAACUUAUGCCUUUUAGGUCUUUGUUCUUAAGCUUAAGUCAUUUACCAGCACUGAGGCUGUUUUUCAAGCAGGAAGAUGGGGUAAAGUAAAGCAGGACAAGAUGGAGUUUUCAGGAUAGAAAAUAGAAGCAAAGAGACUAAGAAAAUACUGUUGAAACAUGUCUCGCAACAGUCUUAUUAGUCUUUUAUUUCCAUUUUGAAGAGGAGAUGGUUUGCUACUUGCUCAUGUGGUGCCAGCAACAAUGUGCUAGAGCUGGAAUUUGAAUCUCGCCUUCUGGACUCACAGUCUACCAUUAACAUAAGGCAGUUACUGCUGAACAAUAGCACUUAUCAUAUGAUGUAUUAUAAGGUUGCAAGAUUAAAGUAAGGUAAUUUUUAUCAGAAGACUUAGAGUUUUUCCCUAGCUUACUACUUACUCCCUACUUCCCUAUCUUGAUAAAAUGGCGCCAGUUGUGAAAACUGGAACCCAGAAUUAUCCUUUACAUUUUAAAACUAUAUCACCCCUAUUUCUGAUCAGUGUUACAUUCCUAUACAAUGUAAUAGCCUGACCACUAGUCUUUUCUCCACUUGGUUGCCAGAAGAACCUUUAAGAAAAGGAAAAUCUCAUUCUGGUACUUUUGGCUUCCUCAGAAUUAUUCUGUUGUUUUCAUUUGAUCUUAGGAUAAGAAUCAUAUCCUUUCCUCACCUCCCCAUCUGAUCCCACACCACCCUCCAGCCUUCACUGAUCAUGUUGACUUUUUUUUUCAAUCUUUUGUGCCUUCUUAUUGCAGGGCCUUUGCAUGUGCUAUUUGAUGUGAAUUCGAACCACCCAACUAUAUUCCCAGCAACCCUCCCAUGUUUUGGUCAUCCACUAACUCCCAGGUCAUGUCUCCAACAUCCUGGAAGAUUUUUGCUCCUGGGCUGGCUCUCUCUUUUCUCACAACUACUCUGGUCAUAAUUCUGAUUAUGAUUACAAUCUCCUUGUAGAUAAUUUCCCCAAUAAUCCCGUCAAUUCCUUGAAUUCUCCUCCUUCAGCGAAUCUUGUUUUCCAUCUUACUUUAUCUGACUCCUACCCUUGGUAUAACUUAUGCUGCAGUUCUCAGAUUUUGGUGUGUAUCAAGAUCACCUUAAGGACUAUGUAAAUACAGAGUCCUGUAUCCCACCCCAGAGUUCUGACUCUCUAAAUCUAGGUGGGAGCUGGAGGAUUUGUCUUUCUAACAAGUUCAGAAUGUUGCUGAGCUGCUGAGCUGAGGACCACACUUUGAGAACCACAGCGCUACGUCUUGUCCUCUGUGACAACUGCACUACCUCUGUGAUCUGAAUUUCAAGUAUCCCACUCUCUAGCUACUGUCUCCUACUCUUUAGUUCAAGCCUUUACUUCCAAUACUACCCUCACUCCAGUGAUUCUUUGUCUACCCCAAUCUCUAAUCAUAUAUAAGAAAAUGGAGAGUUUUGCAUUCUCUAAAGGAUGGAUUUAUGCAGCCGUUAGGAUGCAUCGUACAGGAGGGGUGUCAAUUUCUCUGUGUCCUGAAAUUUAGAAUUUUUGGAAAUUGCCAUAGGAUCCUACUUUUCUUUUUCCAAGUAUAUUAGUCUAACUUUGUAUAUUAGUCUGACUUUAAAGAAAAGUGGAGUUGUUAAACUCUUGGAGGUGAAGUGUUAUAAAGUACAUAUAAACUUUAUUAAAUUAAUAAGCUUGAUUUAUCUCAGGGAUAAAGGUAUUAAACACACACCCUAUACUUAGAGUUCACUGCUAGAUUUUUAAUAUUCUCAUCAAGCCUUAUAUAAUUUCAUAUGUUCUUUGACAAUAUAAGUAUUUCAAAUAGUCAUCCAAUCUCUUUAUUUUAAGAAAAUAUUUGAAGCCAUAUCAUUCUAUCCUUGAAGUGAAUAAAGAAACCAUCCUGUAUGUUUGGUGAUAAUAUUUUGCCUUGGCAAGUGCUCCAACAUUGCAUGCAGAAAAGAUUUCACAUCAUCCUCAAGUGCAACCCUAUGAAAUGAAUGAAAAAAAGAGAAUGAGUGAAGUCAAGAACCUUGUCCAAGGACACAAACUCAGUCAAGUUGGACUCAUACACGGGCCUUCUGCCUCAACAACCAGCAUUCUUUCCAUUUGAGUUAGAGCAUCUGGAUGGUUGAAGAUACUCCAGAGAUCCCUGAGGUCAUGAGUCCCGAGGAGAUCUGGAAACAAGUGGUGCCGGCCAUAGAGUAUGGUAGAAGCUGUAUAGAUCAGACUUCAGCUGAUUGCCAUUGCAUGGCCAUGAGUAUUCCCCUAUCUUCUGUUUUUCAAGGAAAGCUGAAAAUGGGGAGUUUUAACUAUACCUUCCAACUGGAAAAUACGCUUAACUCAGAUUAGAAGGAACACAUGCAGUAGGGCCAGCGUUAAUGUGUCAUCUGGUUUGCCCCUGGAGUGUUAGGUUGAGACCUGUGAUCUAAAAGUAUUUUGCAAGCAGGAGGCAUUUCUUCUGUAAAAUCCCAGAGUCUUAGGCCUUUGCUUAAAUAGUUCCAGUGAUAUAGAACUUUGAGUAACUUAAUAUGGCUGGUUCUGUUGUUGGUCAUCUCAUUUUUCUUAGGUUACUUCUCCCGAGCCCCAUCAUCCUAUAUUUAUUCAUGAUUCCACAGGGAAUCCUUAUGCUUUUUCUUUGUGUGUGUGUGUCUUUUUAGGGCCACACCUAUGGCAAAUGGAGGUUCCCAGGCUAGGGGUCUAAUCAGAGCUGUAGCUGCUGGAGUACACCACAGCCACAGCCACCACCACAGCAAUGUGGGUUCUGAGCCAUGUCCGUGACGGACACCACAGCUUCCAGCAACACCGGAUCCUUAACCCACUGAGCGAGGCCAGGUGUUGAACCAUCCAUCCUCAUGGAUACUAGCUGGGUUCGGUUAACCACUGAGCCAUGACGGGAACUCCUCCUUACACACUUUCGAACAGAGCUUCCUUUUUCCCCCUCAAACCUCCACCCCCUAAUCUUCUAUACAGACUGAACAUUCAUAGUCUUUCAACGAUUCAUCUGAAGGCAUGGUUUUAGACCCUUGGUAAUCCUAGCUACCUUCUUCUAGAAUCUCUAAAUCUGUUUAAUGUCUCCUCAUGAGAGUAUUCCAUCACAUUCCAUGGUAGCAUCUCUCAUCCAGUAAGUCAAAUUAAAAUCUGAUGUACCAUUACAUCACUCAAGUUUCCAUACGUUUGGGGGACUCUGGAAUAAUUUGAUGUAAAUGGAAUAAUCUGAUAUAAGAUGGAGCCCAUCCAUGCAUGUUAAAUUUAUUGUUCAAAGUGGCUCAGACUGAUGAAGGUCAAGAGGCAUGAGUGACCAUCCUUGGAGAAAGACUUGCUAUACUUCUUGAGACCUCUUGGACAGAGAAGAGAAAUAGCAUUUCUAAAGCAGAGCCCUACUUUAAAAGGUUUGUGAAAUAUAGGUGUGACGUGUGGUAGAACUGGUCACAAGAGCGAAAGUUUAUGUGGGAGCUAUAGGUUCUAGACUCCAGGGUCUAGAGUAAGGAACUGUGGGAUGAUUUAAUUACAUUCUGUGAGUGAUCCCCCUAGAUAAUGCUGGAAGGGCACCAGUUAAAAGUUAGAUCCAUGGUUUAUUAGAAACCUCCUGUGUACCAAACACUGUAAUGGAAUACAGAUGAGUGUAAUAAUGCAUGCCGAAUAUUUAGCACAAUAUCUAGCAGGUAGUGCUUAAAAUAAGUGGUAGAUUAUCAUUGUUAUUAAACUACAAUUACAUUUAAUAUGUAAUUUAGUCUCAUGACUCCUUAAGAGGUAAUUAUUGCCAUUUUAUAAAAGAGGGGAGUAAGACUUAGAUUAAGUUUUGGGAUCACAAAGCUUGUAAGUAUCAGAGCCUGGACCCUGGUUGAAUACUGAAACAUAUGCUGCUCCAAACUAUGCUUAAACAUAUGCUCCAAACUACCUUAAAACCCCUGGCAGCCUAAGAGGAACCUGGAAUCAAAGUAUAACUCUUUAUUCCUUCUGAAAAACUGUCACAUUAAUUCUCUGUCCUAUGAUUAGGCAGUGGGUUUAAUAUUGAACUCAGAUGCAGACAUAUCUCUUUAUCCUUGUCAAGCUUUUAGUUGUGGCACUAGCCCUGGUCUAUAUAAAUAAUUUCGAAACUCAAGAAUUUCAUUCCGGGAAUUCCCACCAUGGUGCAGGUAGGUUAAGAAUCCAACUGCAGUGGCUCAGGUCACUGACGAGGGGUGGAUUUGAUCCCUGGCCCAGUGCAGUGGAUUAAAGGACCCAACAUUGCUGCAGCUGUGGUGUAGGGUCACAGCUGUGGCUUGGAUUCAAUCCCUGGCCCAGGAACUUCCAUAUGUCAUGAGCGUCUCCACAAAAGGAAAAAAAAAAAGAUCUUAAUUCAAUGUAUUAAACAUGUGACAUUCAGAUAUUGACAAGCAUAACUGACUUCUAGGACAGUUUCCUAGUUUUUGAUUAAAAUAUAUUUAAAAGGAGCACAAAACAGGGAAGGCAACCAAACAGCCUUGGACACACUCCGAGAGAUGCUUUCAUUCCUUUAACCUUACUAAUUUUAUAUCAAUCAUGAAUUGAAGUCUUUGCAGAUGGUGGGUUGGCAUGGCGUGCAUCUACUAUUCUCAUUUUAUCAUAACCUAUCCCACUUUUUUUCCAUCUUGUUCAUAAGUUAUCAAGAAAUAUUUUAGCAGAUUCUUUACGGAAACUAUAUGUUCCAUGAUUAUGGAAUUCUGUCACUCUUCAAGGCUAGUAAGAUUAUUUAAAUUUAGGUGAAUUUGUCAUAAACUGUUUGUUAAACCCAUAAUGACUUUAGUUAUCACUGGUUUCUGAUAAUGACUCAUUCUUGUUGGUUUGAAAAAAAAAACAAUUUUUUUUCCCACUUAAAGUUUCUAAAAUGAUUUUGGCUUUUAAACUAACUUUGGGAAGAAGAGUCCUAGGAAGCUAAAAAGCAAGUAAUAAAGGAAAUCAUAAUUGUUACAAUUAGAAACUGGGCACUCGUAGCAAUUCUGUAUAAUCAAAUGCCUUUGAAAUGAAUGUACAGAUGUACCACAAAUGGAAAAGGUAUUUUUACAUGAUUUGUAUAAAUAAUAGUUACAGUGUGGGAGGGUCAUUUGAAGAAUGCACAGAAAGUUAAUACAUUACUCAUUCCUUUGCAUUUUGACCCACUCCCCCACCCCUCAAAGGACAGAGCGUUAUUUAAACAGAGACCAAAUCUGGUGUAUUCCACAUAUAAUUUUCCUAUGUCUGCUAGUUGGUAAAAGGAAGCCACCCUGGAGAAAUACAUGAAAGACUGCAUUUACUUUGGGGGGAAAAAAAAUAACUGGUUUGUGUCCCUUUUAAUUAGUGUGUAAAGAACCACAUCUCUCUAAAAAUUCUCUUUCCAGCCUAUAUUUACAGAACAAUGUCUUAAAAUGACAGUUUCCUCGAGGAAUCAGAACUUAAAAAAUUCUUCCUACUUCACAUUACAAAAUAGAUUUUAAAAAGAUUUUGCACUUAAUAGUUUGUGAACAGUUAAGGGACUCUUUCUCCACGCAAUAGCAGACAUUGGGGGGUUGCUGGGCUAAUUUUGGCCCUUGGCCAAAGUGACAUGUGAGUUGGAGCUCCUGUGUGAGUGGAGGUGUGUUUGAACACAGCUUGACUGCCCUUUAGGCGAGAUGUGUGCUCACUAGUUCAUAUCAGCCCUUCUUCCAGGCUGGCUGUGUAUAUUCGCUUCCCCAACUGGCUUCUGUAGGCAUUUGGAGUUGUUAUCCCUGAGGUAAAAGGAAUAACGGUGGUGGUCUAGAACAUGGUGUCAAAAAAUUUGAUGAGACCCUUGCACCUUCAUGGAAUAACUAAAAACCUCUUAGGUUCUAUACUUAGGGUUUACUCUCUUUCUUUCCUGUUUUAUUUUUUUUGCUUUUUUAGGGCUGCACUUAGAGCAUAAGGAAAUUCCCAGGCUAGGAGUCGAAACAGAGCUACAACUGCAAUCACAGCACAGUGGGAUCCGAGGAGUGUCUGUGAUCUACACCACAGCUUACGGCAACACUGGAUCCUUAACCCACUGAGCAGGGCCAGUAGUUGAACUCACAUCGUCAUGGAUACUAAUCAGAUUCGUUUCCACUGUGCCACAAUGGGAGCUCCUUGUUUUCUUUAUUUUUCUUUAGCCAAAUGUGAUUCUUUGAUUAUUUUAGAUCUGCUUGGCACCUAAUGUGUGUAAGUAGAAGUACAAAAUGUUUUGAUUAAAUAGUGCACAAAAUUAAAAAUAUAUAUACUUACUGGUAGUGAUGAUGAUAAGAAACUAUCAUAGGGCAUAGUUUUAGGGGCUGGAUUACUAAAAAUAUUUGCCAAGAGGUGUAUUACAUUUUUGAACUUGAAAAAUUAUCAAUGGUUAUGAAUGCAUGUGUUUUUUUUACAUUCUUCAGUUCGUGUAUUUGAGCAUCUUAACAGCUUCUGUCUCUAGGUUACCAGGAGACUUUGAAAUGACUGUAUUUGUUUGUAGUACAGAUUUUAUAUCAAAGCGCCAAAAUUAAAAAAAAAA